UCGAGUCGUGGCACCCAAUUUUGCGCUCCCUUCCGAGCCGAUUUGCUCGACCGAUCAGCGAAGGAAGACAAGGCGAUCACGGACUCACGGAAAGCCGCGAUGGCCAUUGCCAAAUCUCCGCUGCCGAUCUUGUCGUCUUCGGUCGGCCGUGAUCCCAUUUGAGGUUCGAGCUGUAGUGAGUAUAUUCAUGCAUAAAAGGAAGUGUCACUCCAGUUUCAAACAGAAAGACGUCUUUACAUCGAUAAACACGAUGAAGCUUCAACUUAUUUGGCUUGGGUGAGCUGUUGAAAUGCUAUUGACUGUGGAAGGAGGAGGAUUCUUUUCUUCUUCUGCAUCAGGGUAUACCAGUGGUCUUGCCCUUCUACUUUUUGGCCGGAGAAAUGAUGAGCAGCCCAUGAAAGUUUCACCAUGGACUAACUACCAGUUAGUGGAGCAAGGACUUGAGUCAGAAUCUCAGCUGGCUUCUAGGAAAAAGCAAAAUUCUCAAGGAUGCACUUCCUUCAUAUGUUUCAGUUGUGCUCAAGAAAGACAAUUUCCUCACAAACUUGAUCUAGCUAACCAGUCUGAAACUUCAUCAGAUUCAUCAUCUUCUGAUGCGAACAAGGUAACAAUCAGUGGUGCUGCUACUGUGAGUGAAAGGAAGCCUUGUCUCAAGAGUAAUAUAAAGAAGCCUUCCAGAAAUUGUUCCACAGCAUGUGAAGGUGAUGAUUCCCAUGAAGUUUCAGGAGUGGAAAAUGAGACAUCUUGUUGUACUGUAGGGAGGAAAGUUCAGUGGACUGAUAAAUGUGGGAAGGAGCUUGUAGAGAUAAGAGAAUUUGAGCUCAGUGAUGACGAUCCAUCGGAUGGGGAAUUUGAGCAUGAAAAAUUCAGAAGAUGUGAAUGUGUAAUUCAGUAAAUUUAAUAUAUCCGUAAAUGGAUGCAAGGACCCAAGCAGAUUGGGAAAGCAUGGUAAUCCUCUGGCAACUGCAGAAAUCUGCAUUGUAAUUGGCUGUAUAAACCAGUCAACUCCAUCACAACCAACAAAUACGUUUGUUCAAGUAUCAUGGAGGAGAAUGUGGGACAAUCACGUACCCUUUUUGUGCCACUCCUAUUUUUUAUUUGUUGCAGCCAAGUUUCCUUUUCCUGAUUGUUUCCACUUUUUUGACUGGCAAUCUAGGCUUCAUAUCCUGUUUGCCUUUUGUAUUGUAAUAUUCAUUUAGUGUUUCCUCGCUUAACAUUAUGUUGUUUAUAUUACUGUAUCAAUUAAAAUGGCCUUUCUUGCAUGUAUAAAACUGCUUUGCUUUUGCAUCUUUUAUUCUUCUUGUAUUAAUAAAUUUCAUACUUCAGUA